rnacentral:rRNA from 1 species
AUUGAACGCUGGCGGCAGGCCUAACACAUGCAAGUCGAGCGGAUGAAGGGAGCUUGCUCCUGGAUUCAACGGCGGACGGGUGAGUAAUGCCUAGGAAUCUGCCUGGUAGUGGGGGAUAACGUCCGGAAACGGGCGCUAAUACCGCAUACGUCCUGAGGGAGAAAGUGGGGGAUCUUCGGACCUCACGCUAUCAGAUGAGCCUAGGUCGGAUUAGCUAGUUGGUGGGGUAAAGGCCUACCAAGGCGACGAUCCGUAACUGGUCUGAGAGGAUGAUCAGUCACACUGGAACUGAGACACGGUCCAGACUCCCACGGGAGGCAGCAGUGGGGAAUAUUGGACAAUGGGCGAAAGCCUGAUCCAGCCAUGCCGCGUGUGUGAAGAAGGUCUUCGGAUUGUAAAGCACUUUAAGUUGGGAGGAAGGGCAGUAAGUUAAUACCUUGCUGUUUUGACGUUACCAACAGAAUAAGCACCGGCUAACUUCGUG